GUUGGAAACGACUGCUAAUACCGCAUGACGCAUAGAGGUCGCACGAUCUUUAUGCCAAAGAUUUAUCGCUUCAAGAUGGCCUCGCGUCUGAUUAGCUAGUUGGCGGGGUAACGGCCCACCAAGGCGACGAUCAGUAGCCGGACUGAGAGGUUGAACGGCCACAUUGGGACUGAGAUACGGCCCAGACUCCUACGGGAGGCAGCAGUGGGGAAUAUUGGGCAAUGGGCGCAAGCCUGACCCAGCAACGCCGCGUGAAGGAAGAAGGCUUUCGGGUUGUAAACUUCUUUUAAGAGGGAAGAGGAGAAGACGGUACCUCUAGAAUAAGCCACGGCUAACUACGUGCCAGCAGCCGCGGUAAUACGUAGGUGGCAAGCGUUGUCCGGAUUUACUGGGUGUAAAGGGCGUGCAGCCGGGUCUGCAAGUCAGAUGUGAAAUCCAUGGGCUCAACCCAUGAACUGCAUUUGAAACUGUAGAUCUUGAGUGUCGGAGGGGCAAUCGGAAUUCCUAGUGUAGCGGUGAAAUGCGUAGAUAUUAGGAGGAACACCAGUGGCGAAGGCGGAUUGCUGGACGAUAACUGACGGUGAGGCGCGAAAGUGUGGGGAGCAAACAGGAUUAGAUACCCUG
rnacentral:rRNA from 1 species